CGGACGGGUGAGUAAUGCUUGGGAAUCUGGCUUAUGGAGGGGGAUAACUACGGGAAACUGUAGCUAAUACCGCGUAGUGUCGAGAGACGAAAGGGUGGGACCUUCGGGCCACCUGCCAUAAGAUGAGCCCAAGUGGGAUUAGGUAGUUGGUGGGGUAAAGGCCUACCAAGCCGACGAUCUCUAGCUGGUCUGAGAGGAUGACCAGCCACACUGGAACUGAGACACGGUCCAGACUCCUACGGGAGGCAGCAGUGGGGAAUAUUGCACAAUGGGGGGAACCCUGAUGCAGCCAUGCCGCGUGAAUGAAGAAGGCCUUCGGGUUGUAAAGUUCUUUCGGUGAUGAGGAAGGUGUUUGUUUUAAUAGAACAAGCAAUUGACGUUAGUCACAGAAGAAGCACCGGCUAACUCCGUGCCAGCAGCCGCGGUAAUACGGAGGGUGCGAGCGUUAAUCGGAAUGACUGGGCGUAAAGGGCACGCAGGCGGUGACUUAAGUGAGAUGUGAAGGCCCCGAGCUUAACUUGGGAAUUGCAUUUCAUACUGGGUCGCUAGAGUAUUUUAGGGAGGGGUAGAAUUCCACGUGUAGCGGUGAAAUGCGUAGAGAUGUGGAGGAAUACCGAAAGCGAAGGCAGCCCCUUGGGAAUAUACUGACGCUCAUGUGCG
rnacentral:rRNA from 1 species